GCCGCUGUGGCUCAGAGGUAGAGCGACUCCUUGGUAAGGAGUAGGUCGGGGGUUCAAGUCCCCUCAGCGGCU
rnacentral:tRNA from 1 species